UGGGGAAUUUUGGACAAUGGGGGAAACCCUGAUCCAGCCAUCCCGCGUGUGCGAUGAAGGCCUUCGGGUUGUAAAGCACUUUUGGCAGGAAAGAAACGUCAUGGGUUAAUACCCCGUGAAACUGACGGUACCUGCAGAAUAAGCACCGGCUAACUACGUGCCAGCAGCCGCGGUAAUACGUAGGGUGCAAGCGUUAAUCGGAAUUACUGGGCGUAAAGCGUGCGCAGGCGGUUCGGAAAGAAAGAUGUGAAAUCCCAGAGCUCAACUUUGGAACUGCAUUUUUAACUACCGGGCUGGAGUAUGUCAGAGGGAGGUGGAAUUCCGCGUGUAGCAGUGAAAUGCGUGGAUAUGCGGAGGAACACCGAUGGCGAAGGCAGCCUCCUGGGAUAACACUGACGCUCAUGAACGAAAGCGUGGGGAGCAAACAGG
rnacentral:rRNA from 1 species